rnacentral:rRNA from 1 species
GACGAACGCUGGCGGCGUGCUUAACACAUGCAGGUCGAACGAUGAUCAGGAGCUUGCUCCUGUGAUUAGUGGCGAACGGGUGAGUAACACGUGAGUAACCUGCCCCUGACUCUGGGAUAAGCGUUGGAAACGACGUCUAAUACUGGAUACGACUGCCGGCCGCAUGGUCUGGUGGUGGAAAGAUUUUUGGGUUGGGGAUGGACUCGCGGCCUAUCAGCUUGUUGGUGAGGUAAUGGCUCACCAAGGCGACGACGGGUAGCCGGCCUGAGAGGGUGACCGGCAACACUGGGACUGAGACACGGCCCAGACUCCUACGGGAGGCAGCAGUGGGGAAUAUUGCACAAUGGGCGAAAGCCUGAUGCAGCAACGCCGCGUGAGGGAUGACGGCCUUCGGGUUGUAAACCUCUUUUAGUAGGGAAGAAGCGAAAGUGACGGUACCUGCAGAAAAAGCACCGGCUAACUACGUGCCAGCAGCCGCCGUAA